rnacentral:rRNA from 1 species
AGAGUUUGAUCCUGGCUCAGAAACGAACGUUGGCGGCGUGCUUAACACAUGCAAGUCGUACGAGAAAGCUCUCUUCGGAGAGUGAGUAAAGUGGCGAACGGGUGAGUAACACGUGAGUAAUCAACCCUCGAACCUGGGAUAACAUUCCGAAAGGAGUGCUAAUACCGGAUAAGACCACAUCCUGUACGCAGGAAGAGGUAAAAGAUGGCCUCUCCAUGGAAGCUAUCAUUUGAGGACGAGCUCGCGUACCAUUAGCUUGUUGGUAGGGUAACGGCCUACCAAGGCUGCGAUGGUUAGCUGGUCUGAGAGGACGACCAGCCACACUGGAACUGAGACACGGUCCAGACUCCUACGGGAGGCAGCAGUGGGGAAUAUUGCGCAAUGGGGGAAACCCUGACGCAGCAACGCCGCGUGAAGGAUGAAGGCCUUCGGGUCGUAAACUUCUGUCAGGCAGGACGAAACAUCGAGACGUGAAUAAUGUUUCGAUCUGACGGUACUGCCAGAGGAAGUCCCGGCUAACUCCGUGCCAGCAGCCGCGGUAAUACGGAGGGGACAAACGUUGUUCGGAAUUAUUGGGCGUAAAGAGCGCGUAGGUGGCUAGAAAAGUCAGACGUGAAAUACCUCUGCUUAACAGGGGAAGGGCGUUUGAAACUUUCUGGCUUGAGUGUGGGAGAGGAGAGUGGAAUUCCCAGUGUAGCGGUGAAAUGCGUAGAUAUUGGGAAGAACACCAGUGGCGUAGGCGGCUCUCUGGCCCAUUACUGACACUGAGGCGCGAAAGCUAGGGGAGCAAACGGGAUUAGAUACCCCGGUAGUCCUAGCCGUAAACGAUGGGCACUAGGUGUAGGAGGUAUCGACCCCUUCUGUGCCGAAGUUAACGCAUUAAGUGCCCCGCCUGGGGAGUACGGUCGCAAGGCUGAAACUCAAAGGAAUUGACGGGGGCCCGCACAAGCGGUGGAGCAUGUGGUUCAAUUCGACGCAACGCGAAGAACCUUACCUGGACUUGACAUGUUUCUGAUAUUUCCAGAGAUGGAAAUUCUCUUCGGAGCAGUUACACAGGUGCUGCAUGGCUGUCGUCAGCUCGUGUCGUGAGAUGUUGGGUUAAGUCCCGCAACGAGCGCAACCCUUACUCUUAGUUGCCAGCGGGUAAUGCCGGGAACUCUAAGGGAACUGCCGGUGAUAAGCCGGAGGAAGGUAGGGAUGACGUCAAGUCCUCAUGGCCUUUAUGUCCAGGGCUACACACGUGCUACAAUGGCCUGCGCAAAGGGUUGCUAACCCGCGAGGGCAUGCUAAUCCCAAAAAGUAGGUCUCAGUUCGGAUUGAAGUCUGCAACUCGACUUCAUGAAGUAGGAAUCGCUAGUAAUCGCACAUCAGCACGGUGCGGUGAAUACGUUCCCGGGCCUUGUACACACCGCCCGUCACACCACGAAAGCCUAUUGUACCGGAAGUCGCUGAGCUAACCCGCAAGGGAAGCAGGCGCCCAUGGUAUGGUCGGUGAUUGGGGUGAAGUCGAAACAAGGUA